rnacentral:misc_RNA from 1 species
AUCUUUUUCUGUUAUUAGGCAUUGGAUCUCUACUACAGGAGUGCUAAAGAUGUUAAAAUUUUUUCUAACAAGUGAGAGGAUGUGAGAAUCCUGGUCAUGAUAGGAAGUUUCCAUGGAAAUAGCUCUAAUUAUUUAUUUUGUCGAUAGCAGAAUCCUGCGUUCCUGUAGUGCCCAAUUAUGAUGUUGAAAGAUGGAGCCUUACCUUGUAAAAGUAGGUAAUGGAGAGUUUUGAUUGUUUGUGGCAAG